UCUAUUAUGUCUACCACCUGAUGACCCAGGAACCGUACAAUUACAAUUAAAUAAUAUUUCUAUAGAUACUAAUGUUAUUAACAUUAAUAACAAGAGAAAUACCCAAUAAAAGUUUGCUAACGUGGAAUAAUUUUAACUAUAACGGACGCGGAGCACGAAGAAUUUCGUAGAAUCACUCAUCUUAUGUCUUUGUCGCUCGCGCAUAAACAUAUUGCCGUUGCGCUCACACAGAUGCAAUGACUGCCGUAUUCAGAGAUUGUUAACCUUUUUGUGAUAACCAUAAAGACUUGUGGUGGUGCACAUGUACUUUGGUUUGUUUUGUUAUAAGUAGUAAUUCCUGUUUUAAGGCGCAAUACACACUGAGCCCGCCGGGCCGCCGACAUAUGUUGGCAACUUUUUGUCGGCGGUCUAGUUGGCGGCUUCACUUAUUACAAGUCGGCAAAUUUGGUCGGCGGCAUGUCGGCGGCUUGAGAUGAGAAAUUUAUUUGGCAGUCAGUGAUUGCCGCCUGUCGAUAAAGUUUGUGUCGCCGGGCAACUGAACGCAGGCGUACCCAAGCCGCCAACAUGUCGGCGGGUAACACGUGCAGGCGCACGUUGCCGACAUUUUCAUACAGGCCGCUGGGUUGUGUCGCCGGCCUUGGUCGGCGGCCCGGCGGGCUCAGUGUGUAUUGUGCUUAACGCUGUAAUAAAAAAACAGUCGUGACUCAUGAGUCAGUGCUGGGAUACGCUUGUGUGUAGUUUCGUUUUUGAGGUUAAGUUUGUGUGUUUGGUCGUUGAAUUUAUUUGCUGUUAUUAUUAAUUAUAACGGUAAGAAGUAAAAUGGAACCAACCCCGUCUACGUCCCGUCCUUUCAAGGAGUUUGUGUCUCCGCGUAAGAAACGCAAAAUGUCU